rnacentral:rRNA from 1 species
GACGAACGCUGGCGGCGUGCUUAACACAUGCAAGUCGAACGGAAAGGCCCUGCUUUUGUGGGGUGCUCGAGUGGCGAACGGGUGAGUAACACGUGAGUAACCUGCCCUUGACUUUGGGAUAACUUCAGGAAACUGGGGCUAAUACCGGAUAGGAGCUCCUGCUGCAUGGUGGGGGUUGGAAAGUUUCGGCGGUUGCGGAUGGACUCGCGGCUUAUCAGCUUGUUGGUGGGGUAGUGGCUUACCAAGGCUUUGACGGGUAGCCGGCCUGAGAGGGUGACCGGCCACAUUGGGACUGAGAUACGGCCCAGACUCCUACGGGAGGCAGCAGUGGGGAAUAUUGCACAAUGGGCGGAAGCCUGAUGCAGCAACGCCGCGUGCGGGAUGACGGCCUUCGGGUUGUAAACCGCCUUCGCCUGUGACGAAGCGUGAGUGACGGUAAUGGGUAAAGAAGCACCGGCUAACUACGUG